rnacentral:rRNA from 1 species
ACACGUAGGGGGCAGGCGUUGUCCGGAAUUACUGGGCGUAAAGGGUGCGUAGGCGGCCAAAUAAGUCAGAUGUGAAAGUCCAGGGCUUAACCGUGGAAUCGCAUUUGAAACUGUAUGGCUUGAGUGCAGGAGAGGAGAGCGGAAUUCCUAGUGUAGUGGUGAAAUGCGUAGAUAUUAGGAAGAACACCAGUGGCGAAGGCGGCUCUCUGGACUGUAACUGACGCUGAGGCACGAAAGCGUGGGGAGCGAACAGGAUUAGAUACCCUGGUAGUCCACGCCGUAAACGAUGAGUGCUAGGUGUCGGGAGUCAAAUCUCGGUGCCGGAGUAAACACAAUAAGUAAUCCACCUGGGAAGUACGACCGCAAGGUUGAA